rnacentral:rRNA from 1 species
GGGUGAGUAACACGUAUCCAACCUGCCGUCUACUCUUGGACAGCCUUCUGAAAGGAAGAUUAAUACAAGAUGGCAUCAUGAGUCCACAUGUUCACAUGAUUAAAGGUAUUCCGGUAGACGAUGGGGAUGCGUUCCAUUAGAUAGUAGGCGGGGUAACGGCCCACCUAGUCUUCGAUGGAUAGGGGUUCUGAGAGGAAGGUCCCCCACAUUGGAACUGAGACACGGUCCAAACUCCUACGGGAGGCAGCAGUGAGGAAUAUUGGUCAAUGGGCGAGAGCCUGAACCAGCCAAGUAGCGUGAAGGAUGACUGCCCUAUGGGUUGUAAACUUCUUUUAUAAAGGAAUAAAGUCGGGUAUGCAUACCCGUUUGCAUGUACUUUAUGAAUAAGGAUCGGCUAACUCCGUGCCAGCAGCCGCGGUAAUACGGAGGAUCCGAGCGUUAUCCGGAUUUAUUGGGUUUAAAGGGAGCGUAGAUGGAUGUUUAAGUCAGUUGUGAAAGUUUGCGGCUCAACCGUAAAAUUGCAGUUGAUACUGGAUAUCUUGAGUGCAGUUGAGGCAGGCGGAAUUCGUGGUGUAGCGGUGAAAUGCUUAGAUAUCACGAAGAACUCCGAUUGCGAAGGCAGCCUGCUAAGCUGCAACUGACAUUGAGGCUCGAAAGUGUGGGUAUCAAACAGGAUUAGAUACCCUGGUAGUCCACACGGUAAACGAUGAAUACUCGCUGUUUGCGAUAUACUGCAAGCGGCCAAG